rnacentral:ncRNA from 1 species
GCGAGACAACUGGCCCGGCGGCGCGUUGUGACCGAUAAACUGCCGUCGGACCGUGCCGGGCGCAGCUCCCGGACGGUCCGGCCAUGAUCAGCC